rnacentral:lncRNA from 1 species
CAGAAACAGAGAGCAAACUGAGGUUCAGGGAGGUACCCAGGGACAAUGCAAAACUUCAACUCUGGUCUUCUCUCUGAUGAUCUGACACCCUUCUACGUCACCACACUAAUCUUGUCACAUCAGGCAAGGACGUGAAUCAUCCCUUUGGUGGAUCCCCAACCACUGAUGUUGUCAUGGCUCGAUGAUCUUCCUUCUGACACAAAGCCUAACGCUACGUCACAAUGCGUACAUCACUCACCUCACUUCAUCUCAUCACGUAGACUUUGUAGCAUCUCACAUCAUCACAAGAAGAAGGCAUUUCAGAUGCACCUUGUCCUGCUAAACUCCUGUGGUUCCAGAUGAAACGGCACACCCUAUGCCAGCAAUGCAGUCAAACAACCAGAAGAAGGAAGCAUUCAACCGACCAAAUUCCUAACGUCACUAAUAAGUCAAUGUAGG